rnacentral:rRNA from 1 species
ACCUACGGGGCGCAGCAGUGGGGAAUAUUGGGCAAUGGGCGCAAGCCUGACCCAGCAACGCCGCGUGAAGGAAGAAGGCCCUCGGGUUGUAAACUUCUUUUAUCAAGGACGAAACAAAUGACGGUACUUGAUGAAUAAGCCACGGCUAACUACGUGCCAGCAGCCGCGGUAAUACGUAGGUGGCAAGCGUUAUCCGGAUUUACUGGGUGUAAAGGGCGUGGAGGCGGGACUGCAAGGCAGAUGUGAAAA